AAUAACUUGGGUAUGCCUUAGCAAUGUCCUUAGAAUAUACCUUCUUGGUCACUUAAUUCUGGAAACAAGUUUACCAUAUCCUCACAGUUUGUGAAACCUCUAGACACAACUGAAGGGCUCCAAGGAUUUUGGGUCAUACUUUAUCUACCGAUUCCUAUUGACAAGCUGUCAUCUUCUCUCUGCAUUGAGGUCAGUUGAUGAUGAUAAAAUCUCGUAAAGAGCAUAUUAAUAGUCUUUGAAAACAGGAAUGAUGGCAAGACAUCGCGAGGAUCUCAACCCUUAAACGCGAGAGAAGAGCUGAAAGAAAACAUACUAGAAGGUGGAGAAUUUGAUUAGAAAGAGGAGACACCCUGACUCGUUUGCUUGGCUGACAAUGAUGAUGGUGAUUGGUGUUCUGCUUGGCGUAGCAUCACUGUGAUCAACAGCCCGAUCGACCCCGGUCUUCAAUAUUACAUGAAGGCCAAUUGGAAGUCCACAACGAAUUCGGCGAUCACUGGAAUAUUAUCACUAAUUCAGCUCUCUCGUUUCUCCAACAAGUCGUAUGAACGGUGAAGAAUAGUAUUUAAGAAUGCAGACAAAAAAGAUUAAAGUGGUAAACAUCAUUAUGAGUAAUGAAUAACCUUAUCCAGACAAUUAGAGCCAAGUGAAACUCAUUAACAUUUUGUUGUCCAUUCAAUAUGGACAGGGUGUUUUUCACAAGACAUGCUUCCACUCUCUGGAACUACUCCCUAAUACGGUUUCCCUGAAAAGAAAAAAAAAAAACAAUGUUGCAAAAUUUUUUUUAAUUGAAAAGUGUCUGAUUUGCUACUUGAAUAAAGUUAAUAAUAGGAUUGUUAAAAGAAAGUACCCCUCACAGAACGGAUAUUCAGAGACUGCAAGAACUGUGACCCAGGACCCCUCCCCCUUCUCCCGACGUGCUCUAACCCACAUCUAUUUCAACAAAUAUGGCGUCGUCGAUUGAGUUUUAUCUGUUUGACUUGGAUAUGUAUCAUCACUGCCUAUCGGAGGAGCUCUCGAAGGAAUGCAAGAAAUUGAAUUUUGAGUGAAAGUGAUUCAAGGAACGCAAAUACACACGAGAACGUCACCGAGCUAAUGACAUCACUGUCAAGUGAACAGUUUGGUUACAACGUGCAACGCAUCCCCCGCAUGCCAAAUGGAAUAAUCAAACGGAAGACAGACCAUCAUACCCAUUCGACGAGUCUAUUCCAAGCAGAGGGGUGCCCGGACAUCAUAUGUCCUAAGACAGCCAUGUUGGAGGAACAUACACGAUGAACCGAUGAAAAGGCGCCAACCUGUCCUCUCUAGUCUUUGAUCCAGUUCUCCUUACUCUAACAGUCAGCCUUUAUACCAAGCCCUAAGAAAUCUUCUUGGAUCACACGUGAUCAAUACACACUGCACACCAUAGCUGUACACACCAGCAGUCAGCAUGCUUCACGCCAGUACAAAGAGAGGCAUUUCCACAGUGUAUCUCGAGCAAGCAUCGGGCAGACAUGGUAUGAUGAGACGCGUGUUCCCAUUGGCUCCUGGACCUCACCGGGCGUCACGUGAUCGCAUUUCAAGUGAGUCAUUAGGCAUUGUGACGUAUAUCGGAAGGACGAUGUCUGCCCCAUGCAGUAGCUGUGUACGCUGAUCAAUGAUUAAUACUGGAGUAGAAAAGAUGAGUGGAAAGUGCUACAUCCAACGACGCACACACAACGAGCUAAACACACGCACCUCCAUAGCCACGAACACACCCACACUCUAAACCGCCAGAUACACAGCGAGUCAACGGUUAUCUGGGUUUUGGAAUACGGAUGGCCAUUAACGAGAUCCUCCUUUGAAGCUUGCCUAGUACGACAGAUAAGAUGGUCGUCGUCAUCGCUUUCUUAUCAUCGAUCAAAUCAACAACGACUUCAUUAAUCACUUCAACUGCUGAGGACUGUUUCACAAUUCAUCAGUGAAACUCGGAAAAACAAUUCAUCGAACAACUUACGAAUCAUUCGUCCCCUUUUUUAGUGAAAUUCGUCGAAUGCAACGUGAUGUUUGAACGAGCAAGACAAGUUAUAAUACAUUAGCUAUAAAAGAAAUAUAAUAUAUGUGGAUUAAGAAAAUAUGAACAAGUCCCCCUUUCUUUUGAAUCCCUAUAUUGCAAAUUUCUUUUUGUUAAAUUUUCCAAUAAGGAAGACACUGAUAUUGGACAUAUUUUCUUGAAACACCUCUUGUUUUUAUCGCAGUAAUCUUUCGAUGUUGUUGUUGGGGUCCAGACGUUCAUCUUUUGAUAAUAACAUGGGAUUGCUGUUGGAAAAGCAUUUUGAAAUUAUUAUGAUGCCCAUUUAACUAUGUUUAUGAGCUCUAUAUCUAUUUGAUUGAAAGUAUAAAUUUAAAGUGGUUUAUUUCCAAUACUAGGACAACGCCAUGAUAAUGUGAUUAGCGAUUGGGGCAGGGUCAAAAUAAGCUGAGGGAGCUUAUUUUUUUUCUUUCUUCAUAAAGGAAUACGGCACAGUCGUAAGUUUUCAGCCGCUUUUAAAUGUUAUUGUUUUUCCAUUCACCAUUUUAUACAUAUAAAUGAAUAAUUAUCUAUAUACACAUAU